GCCCGCCCCUAAAGCACCAAAUCCCUGGCGCAGAUUCGGUUUUCAAGACAAAUUAGCUUCUAGAGAGUAGAAGUUAGGGUUUCCAGAAGGAGAAAGCGACUCACGGUUUCUCCCUGACGCCUCCGUUUGAACUCGAAACAGAUCUUCUAAAACUGUGAAUUUGUUAAAUAACUUAGGGUUUGAAUCAAGAGAUGCAGAAAGAAAUAGAGUAAUGAGCCGUC
rnacentral:misc_RNA from 1 species